AUUGAACGCUGGCGGCAGGCCUAACACAUGCAAGUCGAGCGAGCGGCGGAGGGGGGAGAGAUGUGUGGGAAAAUGCCUGAUGGAGGGGGGUAACUACUGGAAACGGGAGAUAAUACCGCACACCACCAGGUGUGCGCAGAGGGGAUUAGCGAGUGGGUGGGGUAAAGGCUCACCUAGGCGACGAUCCCUAGCUGGUCUGAGAGGAGGAGCAGCCACACUGGAACUGAGACACGGUCCAGACUCCUACGGGAGGCAGCAGUGGGGAAUAUUGCACAAUGGGCGCAAGCCUGAUGCAGCCAUGCCGCGUGUGUGAAGAAGGCCUUCGGGUUGUAAAGCACUUUCAGCGGGGAGGCGUUACCCGCAGAAGAAGCACCGGCUAACUCCGUGCCAGCAGCCGCGGUAAUUC
rnacentral:rRNA from 1 species